CAACACCUACGGGGCGCAGCAGUGGGGAAUAUUGGGCAAUGGGCGCAAGCCUGACCCAGCAACGCCGCGUGAAGGAAGAAGGCUUUCGGGUUGUAAACUUCUUUUGACAGGGAAGAGUAGAAGACGGUACCUGUCGAAUAAGCCACGGCUAACUACGUGCCAGCAGCCGCGGUAAUACGUAGGUGGCAAGCGUUGUCCGGAUUUACUGGGUGUAAAGGGAGCGCAGACGGCAGUGCAAGUCUGGAGUGAAAGCCCGGGGCCCAACCCCGGAACUGCUCUGGAAACUGUGCGGCUAGAGUACUGGG
rnacentral:rRNA from 1 species